rnacentral:rRNA from 1 species
UGAGUUUACCCGUUGAAUAAGCACCGGCUAACUACGUGCCAGCAGCCGCGGUAAUACGUAGGGUGCAAGCGUUAUCCGGAAUUAUUGGGCGUAAAGGGCUCGUAGGCGGUUCGUCGCGUCCGGUGUGAAAGUCCAUCGCUUAACGGUGGAUCCGCGCCGGGUACGGGCGGGCUUGAGUGCGGUAGGGGAGACUGGAAUUCCCGGUGUAACGGUGGAAUGUGUAGAUAUCGGGAAGAACACCAAUGGCGAAGGCAGGUCUCUGGGGCCGUUACUGACGCUGAGGAGCGAAAGCGUGGGGAGCGAACAGGAUUAGAUACCCUGGUAGUCCACGCCGUAAACGGUGGAUGCUGGAUGUGGGGCCCGUUCCACGGGUUCCGUGUCGGAGCUAACGCGUUAAGCAUCCCGCCUGGGGAGUACGGCCGCAAGGCUAAAACUCAAAGAAAUUGACGGGGGCCCGCACAAGCGGCGGAGCAUGCGGAUUAAUUCGAUGCAACGCGAAGAACCUUACCUGGGCUUGACAUGUUCCCGACGAUCCCAGAGAUGGGGUUUCCCUUCGGGGCGGGUUCACAGGUGGUGCAUGGUCGUCGUCAGCUCGUGUCGUGAGAUGUUGGGUUAAGUCCCGCAACGAGCGCAACCCUCGCCCCGUGUUGCCAGCGGAUUGUGCCGGGAACUCACGGGGGACCGCCGGGGUUAACUCGGAGGAAGGUGGGGAUGACGUCAGAUCAUCAUGCCCCUUACGUCCAGGGCUUCACGCAUGCUACAAUGGCCGGUACAACGGGAUGCGACGCGGCGACGCGGAGCGGAUCCCUGAAAACCGGUCUCAGUUCGGAUCGCAGUCUGCAACUCGACUGCGUGAAGGCGGAGUCGCUAGUAAUCGCGAAUCAGCAACGUCGCGGUGAAUGCGUUCCCGGGCCUUGUACACACCGCCCGUCAAGUCAUG